GGCAAAUCCAAAAUGUGCACCACCUAAAUGGCUAAAUCCAAACAGCAUUACUAUGAUCUUAGACACGUCCUGGACUGUGGUACUAUCAAGGGGUGCGUAUUGGGUAACUGUGAACAUGGGCAUGUAUACAUGAGCUUAGAAGGGGUGGACAAAAAUCCAUAGCUAUAUUAGCAUUUUUUUCAACUAAUUAUCUAUUUCUCUACCAAACUAUCCAUAUAAUAUCUAAAAGUGCAAAUCUUGACAACAACAUAUUGGAGAAAGAAGUCCCUUGUAAUUUACGGAUAAAUUAUUUGUUCGAUUUAAAAUUUUCUGAUAUCUACCUGCUUAUAUAUCCACACAUGAUCAUCAUCAUCCUCCUCUAUGGACUUGUAGUGGUUAUAUAAGGCCCUUCUUACAAAGAAAGAGCCAUGAGAUUAAUAAAGGCAAUGAUUUUU
rnacentral:misc_RNA from 1 species